CUACGGGAGGCUGCAGUGAGGAAUAUUGCACAAUGGGGGGAACCCUGAUGCAGCAACGCCGCGUGGAGGAUGACGCAUUUCGGUGUGUAAACUCCUUUUAUAUGUCAAGAAAAUGACGGUAGCAUAUGAAUAAGCACCGGCUAACUCCGUGCCAGCAGCCGCGGUAAUACGGAGGGUGCAAGCGUUACUCGGAAUCACUGGGCGUAAAGGACGCGUAGGCGGGUUGGAAAGUCAGGUGUGAAAUCCUACAGCGUAACUGUAGAACUGCACUUGAAACUUCUAAUCUAGAGUAUGGGAGGGGGAGAUGGAAUUAGUGGUGUAGGGGUAAAAGCCGUAGAUAUCACUAGGAAUACCUAAAGCGAAGGCGAUCUCCUGGAACAUUACUGACGCUAAGGCGUGAAAGCGUGGGGAGCAAACAGGAUUAGAUACCCGCGUAGUC
rnacentral:rRNA from 1 species